rnacentral:lncRNA from 1 species
UCCAAUUCUAGUCUAAAUUUUACCCACAAUCCUCUCCUCUUAUAAACACUUUAAUAGGAAGUGCUGAUGAAUUAUGCAGAAUUUUGAUGGCGUAUAGAACUGGUAAUAUAAGAUCAUAAAUGCCAUAAAAACAGCACAAGUAAUGAAGGUUGUGUCUGUUUUAAAAUCCUGUUUCACUGCUUUUACAAAUCUCACAAAUCAUUUCAAAGCUUUUGUUAAAUUUCAGAUUGGCGUUAAUGAUGCCGGUUCUGAUUACGACUCUUUUGGAAGGUGUAUGCUCGUGAUGAACGGCGACGGGCAGAGCGACAGACCGCAGGACGCGGCGAGACGCUGCUCGGGUUCUGCAGGAGAAUCGGGACGAGUUUCACACUGAAACAGUUCUUCUCCUGAACCCACAGCCACAAACCAGAGGCCUUUGUUUCGGAGAGGAAACGGGGGGCUGAGAUCCGCCGAGCUCCAGCUGCUGAAUCAAAAGCGUAACUGUGGAGAAACUGUGGAAGUUAUGAGGAGAAAAACAGCAGAAAGUUUGUGUUAGAGGACGAGUCUUGUGUUGGCGGCGGCUCGGUGUCACUGUGUGCCUCCGCACCGCCGGCACACGGCCCCCUCUGUUCCCCGCUGACCCGUUUUGAAUGGACAGCGUUUUCCUUUGUGUUCACCAUCAAAACACCAGCAAAGUUAGUCAGCAAGUUACACAGCUUUUCUCCCGCCGGAUUCCUCAAGCCUCCACUAAACCAACAAUGUUUAUCACCGCGCCGGAGCUGAGCGGCCUGCUGGAGAACACAAUGAAAGCAGCGGACAAAGCGAUUGUGGCAAAGUCCUUUGGAAAAUGGCAAAGCGGCUCUCGGAGGUCCAGGACCAUGGAGAAGCCGGAUGAGCCUUCGGAAGGCAGGGAAGAGGAGAGCUGUUCCAGCAGCACCUGUGAGUCGCCUGAAAAAGAGGAUGCUUUUCUCACUGAAACCCUGAGAAACUCUGAGAAAAGAGCGAGCAGAGAGCAGCCGUCCAUCCCACAGUCUUCACCCCCCCGCCAAAAAACAAAGGUAAAAACAGAGUUUUAUUUCCUGCUGCAGAUCAGAAGCGUUUCUGAUGCAUUUCUCUGUAUAAACAGA